GCCAGGCGCGGUGGUGCACACCUGUAAUCCCAGUGGUUUGGGAGGCUGAGGCAGGAGGAUCACAAGUUCAAAACCAGCCUCAGCAAAAGCGAGGCUGUUAGGGAACUCAGUGAGACCCUGUCUCUA
rnacentral:sRNA from 1 species